AAGCAACACUCUGUGGCAGAUGGUCAAAAGUGUCUGACACAAUUUGAGCUUGCUAUAGCAAGAAAGUCUAACCUAUUCCGGUGUUCUCUCUUUGUGGGAUAAGCCGUUAUAUAGACUUUAACAGU
ensembl:snoRNA